CGGGUGAGUAACACGUAUCCAACCUGCCGUCUACUCUUGGACAGCCUUCUGAAAGGAAGAUUAAUACAAGAUGGCAUCAUGAGUCCACAUGUUCACAUGAUUAAAGGUAUUCCGGUAGACGAUGGGGAUGCGUUCCAUUAGAUAGUAGGCGGGGUAACGGCCCACCUAGUCUUCGAUGGAUAGGGGUUCUGAGAGGAUGGUCCCCCACAUUGGAACUGAGACACGGUCCAA
rnacentral:rRNA from 1 species